CCACGGGUGAGUAACACGUAUGCAAUCCACCUGUAACAGGGGGAGUAACCCGGAGAAAUCCGGACUAAUACCCCAUAAUAUGGGCGCUCCGCAUGGAGAGUUCAUUAAAGAGAGCAAUUUUGGUUACAGACGAGCAUGCGCUCCAUUAGCCAGUUGGCGGGGUAACGGCCCACCAAGGCGACGAUGGAUAGGGGUUCUGAGAGGAAGGUCCCCCACAUUGGAACUGAGACACGGUCCAA
rnacentral:rRNA from 1 species